AAGCAAAAGCAAACUAAAGUUCUGAGCUUCUCACAAUUCUGGGUCCAGCUUAUCCACUUCCAGCAAAACUGCAUGGCUUCAUGCUGCAUUUCUUCCUCUGAAACUUGGGAGGCACAUUAGCUGGAGUUGACUGAACAGAUUUUACUAAGUGAUGAAGAUGUCUUCCUCUAGACUCACCUUGGUUGCUUCCCCUCCUUGAUGGAUCUUUAAGUCACUUUUGGAAGCAGCACUACUGGGAUGAAGCAGGAAUCCUCCUGCAAGAGAUGAGGAUUCAUGUCAGGAUGACACUGUUGAGGAUUCAUAGUACAACACAGAUGUGUUACUCCAUGGGAAAGUUCACAUUUGAGAAGCCUCUGAGAAAAAAUACUGAUGUGCCUAAAGCCUUUCUCCAUCCACUGACAUAUCAU
rnacentral:lncRNA from 1 species